rnacentral:rRNA from 1 species
UAAGGAUGGUAAGGGCGGACGGUGGAUCCCUCGGCAGCCGGAGGCGAUGAAGGGCGUGGCCAGCUGCGAUAAGCCCCGGGGAGCCGCUGAGCAGGCGAUGAUCCGGGGAUUCCCGAAUGGGGAAACCCACCGUACCGUUGAGGUACGGUAUCCGCCGCCGAAACACAAGUAGGCGGCGGAGGCGAACCCCGCGAAGGGAAACAUCCCAGUAGCGGGAGGAAAAGAAAUCAACACCCGUCUCCUUCGGGAGGCGGGCGCGUCCCCCAAAAGGGGACGUGGAGAUUCCCCUAGUAGCGGCGAGCGAACGGGGAACAGCCCAAACCUCACGGGUGUUAAAGCCCGCAGGCGUUGCCCGUGGGGGGUUGCGGGACGGCAACGGGGAGGGCUGCGGACCUCCCAGGGAGUUACAAAAGCCUUCUCUAGCCGAACGGCCUGCAAAGUCGCUGGAAAGGGCGGCCGGAGAGGGUGAAAGCCCCGUAGGCGAAAGGGAAGGCUCUCCCGGGUUGCCGCUCCCAAGUAGCGUCGGACACGUGAAAUCCGGCGUGAAUCUGGGGGGCCCACCCUCCAAGGCUAAAUACUCCCGGCUGACCGAUAGCGCACCAGUACCGUGAGGGAAAGGUGAAAAGAACCCCGGGAGGGGAGUGAAAUAGAACGUGAAACCGUCCGCUCACAGGCAGUAGGAGCCUGGAGGCCUUGGCCCUUCGGGGCCCUGGCUGAAGGGUGACUGCAUGCCUUUUGCAGUAUGAGCCGGCGAGUUAUGGUCCGUGGCGAGGCUAAGCGGGUCUCCCGCGGAGCCGUAGCGAAAGCGAGUCCGAACAGGGCGUCCAGUCACGGGCCAUAGACCCGAAGCCAGGCGAUCUACCCGUGGGCAGGGUGAAGGCGGGGUAAGACCCGCCGGAGGCCCGAACCCAUUGGACGUGCAAUUCCAUGGGAUGACCUGCGGGUAGCGGUGAAAUGCCAAUCGAGCCUGGUGAUAGCUGGCUCUCCCCGAAAUGGCUCUAGGGUCAGCCUCACGGCUCAGGCGGCCGGGGGUAGAGCACUGGAUGGGGAAGGGGGGAAACUCCCGACUCCAACCAAACUCCGAAUACCGGCCGUCGGUCCGUGGGAGUGAGUCCGUGGGGGAUAACCUCCACGGUCGAGAGGGGAACAACCCAGACCGCCGGCUAAGGCCCCAAAAUCCGGGCUAAGUGGGGAAGGCGGUGUGGCCGCUAAAACAGCUGGGAGGUUGGCUUAGAAGCAGCCAUCCUUUAAAGAGUGCGUAACAGCUCACCAGUCUAGCGGCCGCGCGCCGAAAAUGUAACGGGGCUAAGCCCGGUGCCGAAGCCGCGGGCUUCCGCGAGGGUUUCCUCGUGGGAGCGGUAGGGGAGCGUUCCCAGCGGGGCGAAGCCGCGUCGCGAGGCGCGGUGGACUGCUGGGAAGUGAGAAUGCCGGCAUGAGUAGCGAGAGGCGGGUGAGAAUCCCGCCCCCCGGAUGCCCAAGGUUUCCUGGGGAAGGCUCGUCCGCCCAGGGUUAGGCGGGACCUAAGGUGAACCCGAAAGGGGUAGCCGAUGGGCAGCCGGUUAAUAUUCCGGCCCCUCCGGGUCCGCGCUACGAGCGAAGGGGUGACGCCGCAGGACUAUCCCCGCGGGCUUACGGCUAUGCCCGUCCAAGCGUCAAGCCAGGGGGAGGAGGCAAAUCCCCUCCCCCGCUACGGCGAGGCGUGAUGGCGAGCCGCUUAACGCGGCGAAGGGGGAUGGGUUCAGCGGCCGAGAAAAGCCUCUAGCCAGUGGGCCCGGAGCCCGUACCGCAAACCGACACAGGUGGGCGAGGGGAGUACCCACAGGGGGGCGAGAUAACCCCGGUCAAGGAACUCGGCAAAUUGCCCCCGUAACCUCGGGAGAAGGGGGGCCCUCGCCGUGGCCAGGGAUUCUCUUGGCUGCGGUUGGGGGCCGCAGAGAAUCGGCCCAGGCGACUGUUUACCAAAAACACAGGUCCCUGCUAACCCGUAAGGGGACGUAUAGGGGCUGAAACCUGGCCACUGCCGGUAGGUCAAGGGGAGGGGUGCAAGCCCCGAACCGAAGCCCCGGUGAAGGCCGGCCGUAACUAUAACGGUCCUAAGGUAGCGAAGUACCUUGUCGGGUAAGCCAAAGCUUGCCCCACCGCCCCGCGAGGGGCGGUGAAAAACCCGGCUCAUAUCGGGGGAGCCCUCCUGCCGAAAUGGCGUGGGGUAACCCCGAGGGAAGUCGGCUCCAUAUGGAGCUUGACCCCGUAACGACUGACCCGAAAGGGGAGGCGCGCUGUCCUCCCAGCGCGCAACACGCCGGGCCUCGCCCGCAAACGGGCGCCUAUGGAGUCCCCUUUCCCGCAGAGGGAGGUGGGAAAUGGAGAAGCUGGAUCCAUGGUACGUAACGGGCCUUGUAGAGGGGGAAGGCACCUUCGCCGUGAGCUUCACUUUGCGGAGGAAGCUUACGGUGGGGAUCGAGACGCGCCCCUCCUUCUCCAUUUCCCAGAACGAGGCCAAUCUCGAGCUCCUGAAGCGGGUGUAUGCCUAUUUCGGGUGCGGGGCGAUCCGCUACUCCCGCAGCGACCGCACCUACAAGUACGAGGUGCGGUCGGUGAGGGAUUUGACCAAGCGGAUCAUCCCCCAUUUCCGGCGCUAUCCGCUUCAGGGAGCCAAGGCGCGGGACUUCGAGAAGUUCGCGCGCAUUUGUGAGAUGGUCCAUCGGAAUCUGCACCUCAACCGCCGCCACUUGCGGGAGAUCAUUGAGAUCGCCUAUUCGAUGAACCCCGCGGGCAAGAGGCGGCACCGGAAGGGGGAUCUCCUAAGGGUGCUGGGCGAGGAUAAGGGAUAGUCUACCCCCCGUGGAAACACGGGAGAGGGUGAAGUUCCGACCUGCAUGAAAGGAACAACGACCUGGGCACUGUCUUGACCGGGGGCUCGGUGAACUUGAAGCGCCGGUGAAGAUGCCGGCGACCCGCGGUGGGACAGAAAGACCCCGUGGAGCUUUACUGCAGCCUGGUGUUGGGUCUUGGUCGUUGAUGUAGAGGAUAGGUGGGAGGCUGAGAAGCUCGGGCGCCAGCCCGGGUGGAGCCGCCGGUGGAAUACCACCCUUCAACGACUGAGGCUCUAACCAGGGGCCGUUAGCAGCGGUUCCGGGACAGCGCCAGGUGGGCAGUUUUGCUGGGGCGGCAGCCUCCUAAAGGGUAACGGAGGCGCCCAAAGGUCCCCUCAGGCGGGUUAGCGAUCCGCCGUGGAGUGCAAGGGCAGACAGGGGGCUUGACUGCGAGGCCUACAAGCCGAGCAGGGGCGAAAGCCGGGCCUAGUGACCCACCGGCUCCUCGUGGUAGGGCCGGUGAUCAGCGGAUAAAAGUUACCCCGGGGAUAACAGGCUGGUCCCGCCCGAGAGUUCACAUCGACGGCGGGGUUCGGCACCUCGAUGUCGGCUCACCCCAUCCUGGGGCUGCACCAGGUCCCAAGGGUUGGGCUGUUCGCCCAUCAAAGGGGUUCAUGAGCUGGGUUCAGACCGUCGUGAGACAGGUCGGUCCCUAUCUACCGCGGGCGCAGGAGGCUUGAGGGGGUCCGCUCCUAGUACGAGAGGACCGGAGCGGCCGGGCCGCUGGUGUACCAGCUGUCCCGCCCGGGGCACCGCUGGGUAGCUAAGCCCGGACCGGAUAAGAGCUGAAGGCAUCUAAGCUCGAAGCCGACCCCAAGAUGAGGCCUCCCCAUCAGGGCCCUCCGAGACCAGGAGGUCGAUAGGCCGCAGGUGGAAGCCCGGCAACGGGUGGAGCCGAGCGGUACUAAUAGCCCGAUCGCCUUA